UACGUAGGGGGCAAGCGUUGUCCGGAUUUAUUGGGCGUAAAGAGCGUGUAGGCGGCUUGGCAAGUCCGCUGUGAAAACUUGAGGCUUAACCUCGAGACGUCGGUGGAAAGUGCCUGGCUAGAGUCCGGAAGAGGAGAGUGGAAUUCCUGGUGUAGCGGUGAAAUGCGCAGAUAUCAGGAAGAACACCCGUGGCUAAGGCGGCUCUCUAGUACGGUACUGACGCUGAGACGCGAAAGCGUGGGGAGCGAACAGG
rnacentral:rRNA from 1 species